AGAGAAUGGUGGUCCAUCAGGGUCACGCCCCUAGGCAACGAGAGGCCAAAGGGACGGGAAGACGACGUCCCCGCGAAGGCGAGAAGUAUCCGGCCGGAACCUUCCGGGAGGCCCGGGCAGCUUGUGGGCGGGGCUUCAGCCUUCUGCGGAACGCCGGGACGAGGUCACGUUCGGACGCAGCUUCCGCUUCCGGGGUGGAAGGUGGUCGGGUUGUCAGGGCGACGGAGCUGAGCCGCCGCGGGGCUGGCCCGCCGUGUCCCGCUCCGCUGCGCCCUUCCGGGCCUCGGGAGGGUCGCGGCCGCGAUCGGGGCCUCGCGGCGGGAAGCGAGGGGCGGGCGGAGCGCGGGGCCCGGGACUUGCGGUCCCCUGCGGGGCUGCGGCCUGGCCGACGCGUCCGCGCGCCCGAGCCCGCGGCCCGAUGAAUGGGGACCGGAGACGGGCGCGAUCGGCUGGGCCGGCGGUUCCGCCGGAAGGCGCAGGCGGCCCGGCCCGGCCCGGCGUGCUCGGCGGCGAGUGCUCGAUUCAUUGAUUCGACCUAAGCUGGCGUCCGGUGAACUCGGCGUGGACUGUUACAUCCAAAAUCUCUUUCACUUCACUCCUGAGUCUAUCAUUGGAAACUUGGCUUCUUUGGAAGAAGAGUGAUAGUGGGCAGUGACUAACCGCAUAUAGUGUGUAAACUGGCUUCAAAACUUCAGUGAAGCGCUUUAUUGAGCUGAUAGUACAGCUGCCAGUCAACAUCGAGAGGAAUCCUUGAGCCCAACAUUACAGGGAUUACGGCCUUGCCGUGUACGCAGCUGACCCAGGUUUGCUCCCUGGCAUUAAGUCUGAUCAGCUACAUCUGGUCAGCCGUGAGCCCCGCCAGCGUGAUCCUUGCGUGCAGGGCCAGAGGUUAGCCUCGAGUACCAGUGGGUGUGGCCCCCAAGACAAAUUACUCUUUGGCUAGGAAGCCUGUGUUCAUUCCAGUGAUCGGCUUUCCGGGUGUGGGGCAGUGUGGUCGGAACUCGGGAAGGGGAGGCUUGGAGAAGCAGCUCUUCUCUCACGCCUGACUGGGUGGCUCCCAUCACAAGAUCCCCAGACCCCGUUUCGAAACCAGAGAAAUGGAGGUAGUGCAUCUCAGUUAGGUUCUUAAAAGGAACCCAAAAUGUGAAGUGCUCAGGCUGAACGUGAUCGUGGUUUGCUUUGAACUACGCCCUUCUCGGAGCAUUGGAACCAGGCAUCAGUCAUUGACUGAAACAGGGCCGAGUGCGGACUGUGCGUUUAGAAAGCAUGGACCAGAGAGAUCGUGUGCAUGUGCUGACGUGGGUUAGUCCCGCCACUACGUAUGGGUCUCUGAGCAGUACUGGCUGUAGCCCAAAAAAAAAAAAAAAACAAGAAAAUAAAUAA